CUAGAUUCAUCUUCAGGCUGUUCUUUUUCCCUGGCUCUUCUCAUGAUUCCUGGAAGCAUGCACAGUAGUCUCACAUCUUAAGACUGUCACUUGAAGUUCUUGCCUUUUUAAGCUAGCUAGCUACCUAGUUCUGUUUUGAUAGCCAUACUCUUUCUGAAUUCUUCUUUCUUGCUUCUCUUCCUUGGGUGUUCUGUUGCAUUUGCUUUUGGUGAUAUUGUACUUUUUUGUUUUUUUUCCUAUCUGUUUGUCUUAUCUGCCUGCUCAUUUAGUCAAUGCCUUUUCUGUGUCCUUAAUUAUCACUCUGUCUUUGUCAUCUCCUGUCUGGUCUUUGUAGUAGGAAUAGAAUUAUACAGUGCUAACGCUGAGGGAGAGCAUAGUGAUCAUCUAGUAACUUACAUCCCUUUACUUUAGAGAUGAGGACAUAGGGCCAGAGGAUUGAAAGUGACUUGUUUAGGAUCACAUGAGUAAAUUAGAGGGUGAGGACUAGAACUCACAUCCCUGCACUGUUCCUUGAUUAUAUUCUAAUUUAUAGAUCCCUCCGUGUAACCUGGAGGGUCUGGAAGAGUAGUGUGUAACUAAAUAAAUUUGCUAUGUGAAAAUAAAUUGUAGAAUUAAAAAAAAAACUUGCUUUGGUUCUAAUGGCUUAUUAUCAACAAUCUAGAGGAUUCUGUUGUUUUUGUUUGCUUCGUUUUGUCUUUAGGACCUUUGUAUGGGGAACCUCUUACCUCUACUAGAUUUAGAUCUUGGUUGGGUGUGUGCAUUCAUGCAUGUGUGUAGUUGUUGAAUGAAUAAUAUAUUAUUCUCAUCCCUGAAGCUCCAGGACAAAUGUAUCGUAGACCACUCCAAAGAAGGCAGCUUAGUGUAGUACAGGUAUUGGUAAACCCUGUGUGUCAAAUCCAGCUCGUAGCCCGUUUUUGUAUGGCUGUUAUUGUAAAAAAAAUAAAUAGAAUAAUUUGUGCCACAUGAAAAUAUAUGAAAUUCACAUUUAGUAUUUAUAAAUAAAAUUUUACUGGAACACAGCCAUGCCAUUUAUUUACUGUUGUCUGUGGCAAUAGGAGAGUUGAGUAGUUACUAUAGAUGCUGUCUACAGGAUAAAUUUGAAACUACUUAGCUUUGUAUUCAAGGCCUAGUACAGUUGAUUCUGGCCACAACCUUCCUUUUCAGCUUAUCUCUUCUCCCAUGAAACAAGUUUUUAAUGCAGCCAAACGGGUUUCUCUGUAACUUGCUUUUUACUUCUGUUUGUACUAUCCCCUCUUUGCUACUUCUUUGUUCAGACUCUUAGUAUACAUUUUUCCUUAAACACCCCAUAGCUCAUUUAUUGUAAAAAUCUUUUUAUGACCAUUUUAACCUUAGGGAUUUCUCCUUCUUAGGAGACCUUUACAUAUGACUGGAAUUCAUUUGGCAACUAAUGAAUAGUGCUUGGUGACAUCUAUUAUGGUCUCAAACUGUAAUAUACAUUUUUAUAUUAUUAUUUUUUAAUGUUUGUUUAUUUUUGAGAGAGAGAGAGAGAGACAGAGUGCGAGCAGGGGAGGGGUAGAGAGAGAAGGAGGCACAGGAUCUGAAGCAAGCUCCAGGCUCUGAGCUGUUGGCACAGAGCCCAAUGUGGGGCUCAAACUCACAAACCAUGAGAUCGUGACCUGAGCCGAAGUCGGACACUUAAGCGACUGAGCCACCCAGGUGCCCCCACAUUUUUAUAUUAUUUUUUAUGAAUUCCUUGGCAGCAGAGAUCUUUGUGUGUGUUUCUCAGUUCUCUGUUUUUGUAUACAUUAUAGGUCUAGGACAGUAUCCUUUCUGGAACAUAUAUUCAGUAAUAUUCAUUGAUGUGGUGACAGCGUUGUAAAGAAACCUAGAAUUCUAACCAAUUAUCCCCUACUUGGAUGUUUUCCACAGCACCGUUGGCAAGCUGUUUUCCAACCUUUGCUUGAACAUUUUCAUGACUAAUCUCUGAUAACAUCUUUGCCUUAGAAAAGAUGUUAUUUUAAGUUUUUGAGCUGAGAGAAGUCUAGACCUCUAUACCUGCCAUUUUUUGAUGAUUGCCUUUGGACAACAGAGAAAUCCUAAAUCAUUUCCCAUAGGAUAGCUUUUUCUCAUUGUUGAAGAUGUGAGGGGGAGUAGGAAGUCAGUCCUCUUUUCUACAAUCUGAGCGUCCUCAGUUCUUUAACUUUUUCUCAGUUGCUCUCUUUUAGACACAGUCCAGUGUUUUUAGUAUCCCUCCUAAAUUAUUGUACCUAGAGAAGAGCAAAGAGAGUGUGAUCUGUUCAUUGUGGUUAACAGUAAAGCUUUUCACCUCACUUUUUCAUUCUAUUCUGUCUCUUUGAAUUGUAUUAAUAUUGGCUUUCAGAUCUCUUGCUUUUACUAUUAUCCCAAUUUUUAUUUAUUGCUUUGUUGCUUUUAUUAUUCUUCUUUAUAAGGAUUUGUGACACUAAUAUUUAUUGAGUCCUCACUGUGCAUAUUACUGUACUGUGACAUGUAAGGAAUAUGUAGAGGAAAUAGGAGAGAUUUAUUUUUUCCCUCAAGUGUCUUAUGUGUAAUUAAGGAUAAGGUACAUAUUUACUAAUGGUUUAACCAUAGUACUUAAAGUGAUGUCCAGAGUGUAUAAACGUAGAGAAGAUGGAAAAGUGAAAGAAAAGACAAAAGAGUAUUUAGUUUCAUAUCUCAGUGCAUUUCUUUCUGCCUCUUUUCCAUGCAGUAACUACUGCUUCUAUAUGGAACUAAUGGUGGUGAUAGUAAUAACCGAUAUUUAUGGAACAUUUAUUGUAUGUCAGAUACUGUUAUAUGUGCUUUGUGUAUAUUACCUCAUUUGAGCUUCACAGUGACCUCACAUAUGAGGUCUUAUAUGAAGACCAUUGAUAUUGACAACUCUCAAAACAUUAUUUUUUUUAACGUUUUUGUUUAUAUUAGAGAGAGAGAGAGAGAGAGAGAGAGAGAGCGAGCUUGAGCCGGGGAGGGACAGAGAGACUGAGACAGAAUCUGAAGCAUGCUCCAGGCUCUAAGCUGUGAGCUGAGAGCUGUUAGCACAGAGCUGGACGCAGGGCUCGAACCCACGAGCAGUGGGAUCGUGACCUGAGCCGAAGUCAGAUGCUUAACCAGCUGAGCCACCCACCCAGGCUCCCUGAGAACUCCCAAAACAUUAAAACAACUUAUUUUUUAUUUGUUACCUGUUUUUCUUUUAUUCAUUUAUUUAUUUUUGAGAGAGAGGGAGCACACAGGAGUAGAAGAGAGAGAGGGAAAGAGAGGGAGAGAGAGAGAGAAUCCCAAAUAGGCUCUGCUGUGUCAGCACAGAAGCCAAUGCUGGACUCAAACUCACCAACCGUAAGAUCAUGACUUGAGCCGAAAUGAAGAGUUGGACGUUUAACUGACUGAGCCACCCAAGCGCCCCUCUAUUAUCUGGUAUUUAAUAAAAUCCAUCAAUAUUUACUACGGUCAAUGUCAAAUGAAUAUUUUUUUAAUUUUAUGUUUCCUAAUUACUUGAGGAAAUAUGCUGCGAUGAUCUUUCUUGGUUUUGGCCGUUCUUUAAAAAUUAGCCUUUAAAAAAAAUAUUUGGAGUAUUGAUUUUCCUUUACCAGUAAAAGGCAGUUUGGUAGUUAUGUCAAGUAACAACCGUGGUUUACAUAUAUUGGAGUGUUUAAUAAAAAUCAUUAGUAUUUCAGACACCAUUGAGGAAAUGUCCACUUAAUAAAGCAAAAAAACAAUGCAGUUGUGUAUGAUUCCAAAUUUGUCAGGGAAAGAAUGGACAAUUUAGGGUUAUGCGCACUUAAAGAUUAGAAGGAAUACUCUAAAAUAAUAAUUAUUGUUCUUGGAUAUCUGGAUCAUUGAGCUAUAUUUAGAUUUUCUUUACAUAGUUCAACAAUGGGCAUGUACAGUACUAAAAAAAAGAAAUUUAAAUGAACUAAUUGUAGUUUUUGAGGUAAUUUUUGGUAUUGUUUUUUAUGCUGAUUUUUAUCUUUUCCCUCUCUUCUUGCUCUGUGUAUUUGCCACAGAGUAAUCUGAUCCACUUGCGUGGCUUCAGCCUUUCAUUGUAAUAUACCCAUUUCUGUCUCCAGUCCUGACCUCUCUUCUUCUAGAUUCAGAUUUCCACCUGCAUACUCGAUAUCUCUAGUUGGUUGUACUCUUAAGACCCACAAAUUGAAUGUAGGUAAUAUCAAGAUCUUUUCUAUCUCUCUUGUCAUGUUCUCCUCUCAACACUUUUCUUUCCUGUUCUGUUCAGUUAGUGUUGUCAACAUCUAUUGAUUUGCUUAAGUUGGGAGAUUUUUUUUUGACUCCUCCUUUUUCCUUUUUCUUAUAUUUAAAUUAGUUCAUCACUUGUAUCCUUACUUUUCACUUUGUGGCUCUGCCUCUGUUUUCUCAUUCAAAUGUAUUCCUGCUAAGUGGUGUUUGUUUUUUUUUGUUUGUUUGUUUUUUUGACCUGUAGGCUGUUCUCUUUCCUAAGCUGUCCUCUCCACAACGUCAGUUAGUUUCUAAAACAGGUGAAUUUAUGAUUUACUUACUUUGAAAGUUUAUAGUUACUACCCUCUGAUUGCCAAGUGAAUAAUAGGUACUGUUUAUAAACACUGUGUGCCAGACACUAUGCUAAACAGUUUACAUAUGUUAUCUUAUUUAAUUCCUGUAAGAGCCCUCUAAGACAGCUAUUAUUUUUCAUUAUCUUAUAGAUGAAGAAGGUAAGGUUUAAAGAGGUUGAGGACCUUGCUCAAAGUUAUAAAGCUGUUUGGUUCUAAGUCUGCACGCACAGCCUUCACCAGUGAAAGUACUUCAUAAUCCAGCUUCAGUUGAUUUUUUUUAAGUUUAAUUUUUAUCAAAGUUAUACAUGCACACAUUUAAAAGAGUUUAAUAGUUCUGCAAGAUUAUUGACAAAACAUAGUCGCUUGCAAAUUCUCCUUCCCUUUUAUUUCAGGCUCUUCAAAGACAGCCACUUUCAACUCAUUUUUUUGAUGUUUAUCUCCAUAUCUCAAAAUAGCAUGCUAGUAGUGUUCCUUCUUGGUUUUUGAGUUUAAGGCAUUAUCUACUGACUUCUUACAGUGGAAGAUACGGUUUACUGCUCUCCCCAGCCACUCAGAGACACACUUCUCAAUCCUGCUUAAUCUUCCUGGUAUUGUCAUAUUGCAAGUACUUUGGUUACAUCAGUACUCAAUGGGACUAUAAGCUAUUCAUAGUUGAGCCCUGUAGUUUGCUGUGAUUAUUUUCCUUUCUAGUACAUCUUGUUUUCCCUGAGUUAAUGGUUUUUGUUUUUGUUUUAAAUUGGCUUUUGUUUAGUUUUCUGUGUACUUCAUUUAGCCAAGGCGUUCUCAACAGGGGGCAACCUAGUGGACAUUUGGCCGUGUUGGGUGGGUGGAAGGAGGGCAGGGAGUGUGCUACUGAUAUCUAGUAGUGGAAGCCAGCUGUGCUGCCAAACAUCACCCUAUACUGCACAGGACAUCCUCAACAAAGAAUUAUGUGGCUCAAAGUGUCACUAGUGACACUGUUGAGAAACUGAUUUAGUCCAAACUCUCUCAAGUGUGUAAAUCUCGUCUUAUUUUGUUCAACCUACUAAUUUUUUAUUUACAUUUUUUUGAAUUGCAGCUGUUGUCUUAGAUUUGCCUUUACUGUCAUCUUAGUAGACCCCCUCAGGUCUCUCUUGUAUUGGGUCUCCUCGUUCUGUAUCUGAUGUCUUCUUUCUUUGCUUGUUUUCUCAUUAUGGAGGACCACUUUCAGUAGUGGUCUCUGGAUGAGAUACAAUUUUUCCCAGACCUCACAUGCCUGAAAAUGUUUCUUUUCUCUUGCUUUAUAGAGUUUGGCUGGACAGAGAAUUCUUGGUUAGAAAAAAACUUUCUCUCAGAAUUUUGCAAACAUUGCUCCGCUGUUUUCUUUUUUUCAGUGUUGCUGUUGAGGCAUCAGAUGCUUAGAAGAUUCUUUCCCACUAUUUUGAAACUUUUUUUUUCCUUUCUGGAAGCUUAGAGAAUCUUUUUGCCUACAGUUCUGAAAUUCCUGUAUUAUGUGCGGGAAUAGGUAUAGGUCUUUUAUAAUCCAUUUCUAUUGAGUUCAGGGUAGUCUUAUUUGUUCAGAAAUGUAUUUCAUCAGUUCUGGGAAAUUUCCUUAAAUGUAUUUUUUUCAUUUCCUCCAUUGGUUUUCUUUGUUCUCUCUUGAGUUCCUGUUGUUUAGUCGUUGGGCCUACUGACUGCUUUCUCUAAUUUUCUUGUCUGUGUUCAUCUAUUUUCCAUUUCUUUUCCCCUUGCUUUCUGGGAAAUUUUUCUCAACUUUUAUCUUACAGUUCUUCUACUGAGGUUUUAUUUCUGCCAUCAUAUUUAUAAUUUCCAAGCACUCUUUUUAUUUUUCCUGAAAAAAUUUUAAAUAUUCCGUUUCUGACUUGUGGAUGCAAUGCUUCUCUUAUCCCUGUUGGGAAAUUAGUAUAGUUUUCCUCUCUGUGUAUUCCCCCUUUCCUCCAGAUUUCCUUUUUGUGUUUAUUUGCUUGGGCUUUGUCUUUCAUAUGAGAUGGCUGGUGAUCCUUCCAAGUCAGCUCUUAAAAGAGGUGGCUUAAAAAGCUUAGAAGCCCUACAAGUGGGUGAUUAUGAUUUUCCCUGUAGAGGGAUAUAGUUGAAUAACUUCCUUGCAGAUUACCAAUGACACAUCUUCUAUCUUGUGCUGGACUGAUUUCCCAGAAAAGGUUUCUGAUCUUAUGCUGGGAGAGGACAAGCUUGGGAGUUGAGUAGGAAAAUCAUUAAGAAUGUAAAAGAAUGUAAAUACAUUUUCAUUUGUUCUCCAGGUUUCAGUAAGGCAUUCCUCACAUUCAUUUGAGCCUGGCGUCCUCUAGUGCAGAGACACCCUGUUUCAUGCUCUCCGAGGUCAUUUGGCCUUUUGCCAGGGAGGGUCAAGGAGUAAAAGAGGGGCCUGGGGGUUCUCACUGCGUCUUAAAUUUCAAUCUGUUCUUCUAGUUUGGACCCCACCCUUAUUCCCACGGUGUCUGAAAAUGCCAGCUUCUGUGCCUUUUAGGGUUUUUUUUUUUCCCCUCCCAUUUUCCUUUAAAGUUUUUUUGUAGAAAAGUUGGAAAAAGAUUGGAGAAUUCUCAUAUACAUUUCACCGAGCUUCUCUUCAUGUUAACAUCUUAUGUAACUAUGAACACUUAUCAAAAGUAAGAAAUUAACCAGAUUUAACUAGUUUUUCCACUAAUGGGCUUUUUUUGUUCCAAGAUCCAAAUUCUUGAUCCUAUGCUGCAUUCUGUUGUCUUGUCUCCUUAGUUUCCUUUUAUCUGUGACAAUCCUCACCUUUUCCUUCUUUCAUUGACCUUGACACUUUUGAACAGUUAUUUUGUAUAAUGGCCCUUAAUUUGGGUUUGUCUGACAUUUUCUCAUGAUUUAUGACCUCUCUCAUGAGGUUAGGAAUUAAAGUAAAGAGAGGGAUAUUACAGAUGUGAUGUGUCCUCAGUACAUCAUAUGGGAGGUCUUGGGGAAUAUGAUGUACUGCUAGUGAUGUGUUAACCUUGAUCUCUUGGGUAUGGUGUCUGCUGGGUUUCUCCACUUGUAAAGUUACUAUUUUCCUCUUUAGUAAUUAUUAAAUAUUGGAGAGUAUGCAGUUAUCUUGUUUCUUUUUAAACUUAUUCUGCCUACUAAUUUUUAGCAUCCAUGUAUGGAUCUUGUCUUAUUACUGGUGCAUUCUAAUAGCAAUUUUGUAUUUUCCUCAUUAUUUCUGUGUUUAUUAAUUGUAAUUCUGUUAAGAAGAGUUAUCCCUAUUCUCCAUAUAUCUACUUAUAUGUUUAUAUCGAUAUAGACUUCUGGGUAUUUAUUGUAUUCUUUCAAUUAUAACCCAAUACUAUUUUAUUUGCUUUGUUUUUUAAGCUGUUCCAGUCUUGGCCAGGGAAGCUCUUUCUGGUUGGCAUUGGUGUGUUCAUCCUUGCUUUUUGAGCACUUAACUUACUUUCUGGCACCACAUUAUGCUUCAGCCCGUGGUAUAUUUUCUCUGCCUCAACCCUGGAAACAUCACUUCUGGGAGUAUAGGAGGUCUUUUGGUAUAAAUGUAAAUCUGAUAUAAACCAGGUGUCUGGUUUUCUUCUAAGCUAAUGUAGAAUUCAGCCUCUUCAGAUGUAGAGUCAUUACCAUUUGAUCUGCUUUCUGGUUUCUAAAACCAUGUUUCUGGUUUCUUACAGGUUUAGGCUCUUCAAAAUAUUUCUUUACUCUUAUUUUAGCAAUAUCUUGAGAAGCUGCGGAGCUGAAUGCCUAUAUGUAAUCAGUCUAUCCUCUUUAACCUCUUUAAUCAGUCUAUCCUCUUUAAAUUCCUAACUUAAUGUUUUUGUCUUCUGCCCCAGGCCAGUUUUGUUUUAGCCACAUUUGACUGUAUUAGUUGCUGUUCCUAGGUGAGUUGUUUGCUUUCAUGUGUCAAUUCUGUGCCCUGCCCUGAGUGCAUAGUAUGAAGUACUUUUUUAUCAUCUGGUUCCUAGGGAGUUUUAAAUGGGUGAAUUGGAUUUUACAUGAAAACUACUAUUUAAGUACUUUUUUAGGGUUUCCUC